rnacentral:pre_miRNA from 1 species
UUAACUCAAAUUUUUAUGGAGUUGGAACGUUUGCCUAUGUUUGCCGCUAGGGGUGUUCCUACAACUGCAUACAAAUUUAAGUUA